AACGAACGCUGGCGGCAUGCCUAACACAUGCAAGUCGAACGAGACCUUCGGGUCUAGUGGCGCACGGGUGCGUAACGCGUGGGAUCCUGCCCUUAGGUUCGGAAUAACUCCCCGAAAGGGGUGCUAAUACCGGAUAAUGUCUUCGGACCAAAGAUUUAUCGCCUUUGGAUGGGCCCGCGUUGGAUUAGCUAGUUGGUAGGGUAAAAGCCUACCAAGGCGACGAUCCAUAGCUGGUCUGAGAGGAUGAUCAGCCACACUGGGACUGAGACACGGCACAGACUCCUACGGGAGGCAGCAGUGGGGAAUAUUGGACAAUGGGCGAAAGCCUGAUCCAGCAAUGCCGCGUGAGUGAUGAAGGCCUUAGGGUUGUAAAGCUCUUUUACCCGGGAUGAUAAUGACAGUACCGGGAGAAUAAGCUCCGGCUAACUCCGUG
rnacentral:rRNA from 1 species